UUUUCCAACUUUGACAUAUGUACUGUCAGUGUCAAGAGUGUUCAACAUAAAACAUAAAACAUGGAGUCAUCAUCAGUAAUCCUUUCGAGUGUAUUUUUUUUACUUUGUACAAAACAUCGCUGCUAAAGCAAAUAUUUAAUACGCGCUAUAAACAACACCAUCGAUAACCUCAAGUCGUGAAGGAUACUUCAUCGUCCUCUACUUCCACAUCAGCUGUCUACCGAAAUCUCACAGCAAUAGAACCAGGGCUGCUCGAUACAUCAACAGACGGUAUAGGAGGACUCCAACGCAAUCAGCGAUCCAUUGCUCGUAGUUCAAAACUAGCUAGUGAUUAGUGCUGACUGAAGACAAAACUUUAGAUAUGAAUGAUAAAAUUAUGGUGGUAAACACUCAAGUACAAUUCGACCAAAAGAAGCCAGUUCCAGCUUGUCGUCUCAGUUUAGUGUGACACAAUAGUCCUGCGAAAGAAAACUGCCAGGCCGGAGCUGGAAGGAAGCACGAGUGUCGCGAGAUGCUGCAGCUCUUUGGAUACCAGUGUCGAUGAUCCAGAUAUAAUAAAGCGGAUUGGCGUGUACUCAAGACACUUCAACGCACGAAGAAGCAUACCCGUUCCAUGUAACCGUCAGCGGCAAUAGCAACACAGCGUAUUCAUUGUCUGAAUACUGCGGAGGUACUAUGCCUUUUCAAGAAAAUCAAGAGAAAUUGUCUCGGAAAUUGUAACUGAACAAUGAACAUUUCAAACAUGUAGGUAAUAAAAGUUAACAAAUCGAGGAUUUCAAUACAACAUGACAUUCUCACGCGACUUUAUAUAAUACA